rnacentral:rRNA from 1 species
AGUCGAGGGGUAACAGGGAUUGCUUGCAAUCCGCUGACGACCGGCGCACGGGUGCGUAACGCGUAUGCAACCUACCUUCUACAGGGGGAUAGUCAAUAGAAAUGUUGAAUAAUACCCCAUACGAUCAUGAAUUCGCAUGGAUUUAUGAGGAAAGUUCCGGCGGUAGAAAAUGGGCAUGCGCCCCUAUUAUUUAGUUGGAAAGGUAACGGUUUACCAAGACAUCCAUAGGUAGGGGUCCUGAAAGGGAAAUCCCCCCCCCCCUGGUAUGGAAAAACGGUACAAAAUUCCCACGGGAGCUACCAUGAGUAAAUUUUGAACAUUGGAAGGAAUUUUUAUUCUCCCCCUGCCCGUUGUUUAAGAAGAACCCCCCUCGGGGUUGUUACCUUGUUUUUUCUACCAGGAAA